rnacentral:rRNA from 1 species
AUCAGCCUUUCGGGUGCGAUUCUGUGGAGUUUGAGGAGCUUAACACCUUCAUGCUUUGCAUAUUCGUGCUCUUGGGUGUACUUGCCCGUGUGGUUGGUUAACAUCAAUUUCGGGCACCAUAAAAUGGCUGGAGGAAUGUAGCUUCGAUCUUGUAUUGAAGUGUUAUAGCCUUCGGUAGAUGUGGUGAUCGAGAUUGAGGAUUGCAACGGAUACCUUUCGGGGCUACCUGUCUGAUCUCUGAUCGUUGCUUUGGUGCUGAAAGCGUGCUUAUAGUUAUCAAAGUCGAUGGUCAAUAGGUUAGAAUGGUUAAAUUCGUUAAGGAUGUUGACGUAAUGGCUUU